UAUGUUCUUUAAAUUUAAAAAAUUUGGCGGUAUUUUAAUCUUAUUAGAGGAACCUGUUUAUUAAUUGAUAAUCCACGAUUAAUUUUACUUAUUUUAUUAAUUCAUAUAUCGCUGUCAUGAAUAUAUUAAAAAAUUUAUUUUCUUUAUUUAUAUUUAUAAUUUAUGUUAAGUCAAGAUGUGGUUUAUAAAUAAGUAUAUAAUGGGUUACAUUAAAUUAUAUUUUUGGAUUUUAAAUGAAAAUUAAAAUGAAAUUGGAUUUAAAAGUAAAUUUAUUUAUUUAAUUAAUAUGAAUAAAGAUUUAAAAUAUGUACAUAUUGCCCGUCAUUCUUAUUAAAAAUAAGACAAGUCGUAACAAAGUAAAUGUACUGGAAAGUGUAUUUAGAAAGAUUUAAUUAUAUAAA
rnacentral:rRNA from 1 species